rnacentral:rRNA from 1 species
AGCGAACGCUGGCGGCAGGCUUAACACAUGCAAGUCGAACGCAUCACUUCGGUGGUGAGUGGCAGACGGGUGAGUAACACGUGGGAACGUACCCUUCGAUCUGGGAUAACUUCGGGAAACUGGAGCUAAUACCGGAUACGCCCUUUUGGGGAAAGGUUUACUGUCGAAGGAUCGGCCCGCGUCUGAUUAGCUUGCUGGUGGGGUAACGGCCUACCAAGGCGACGAUCAGUAGCUGGUCGGAGAGGAUGAUCAGCCACACUGGGACUGAGACACGGCCCAGACUCCUACGGAAGGCGGCAGUGGGGAAUAUUGGACAAUGGGCGCAAGCCUGAUCCAGCCAUGCCGCGUGAGUGAUGAAGGCCUUAGGGUUGUAAAGCUCUUUUGUCCGGGACGAUAAUGACGGUACCGGAAGAAUAAGCCCCGGCUAACUUCGU